AGAGUUUGAUCCUGGCUCAGGACGAACGCUGGCGGCGUGCUUAACACAUGCAAGUCGAACGGAAAGGCCCCUUUGGGGGUACUCGAGUGGCGAACGGGUGAGUAACACGUGAGUAACCUGCCCUUGACUUCGGGAUAACUUCAGGAAACUGGGGCUAAUACCGGAUAGGAAUCCUUGCUGCAUGGUGGGGGUUGGAAAGCUUCGGCGGUUUUGGAUGGACUCGCGGCUUAUCAGCUUGUUGGUGGGGUAGUGGCUUACCAAGGCUUUGACGGGUAGCCGGCCUGAGAGGGCGACCGGCCACAUUGGGACUGAGAUACGGCCCAGACUCCUACGGGAGGCAGCAGUGGGGAAUAUUGCACAAUGGGCGGAAGCCUGAUGCAGCAACGCCGCGUGCGGGAUGACGGCCUUCGGGUUGUAAACCGCUUUCAGCAGGGGCGAAGCUUUUGUGACGGUACCUGCAGAAGAAGCGCCGGCUAACUACGUGCCAGCAGCCGCGGUGAUACGUAGGGUGCGAGCAUUGUCCGGAUUUAUUGGGCGUAAAGAGCUCGUAGGUGGUUGAUUGCGUCGGAAGUGAAAACUUGGGGCUUAACCCUGAGCGUGCUUUCGAUACGGGUUGACUUGAGGAAGGUAGGGGAGAAUGGAAUUCCUGGUGGAGCGGUGGAAUGCGCAGAUAUCAGGAGGAACACCAGGGCGAAGGCGGGUCUCUGGACCUUUCCUGACGCUGAGGAGCGAAAGCGUGGGGAGCGAACAGGCUUAGAUACCCUGGUAGUCCACGCUGUAACGGUGGGUACUAGGUGGGGGGGUCCAUUCCACGGAUUCCGUGCCGUAGCUAACGCAUUAGUACCCCGGCCUGGGGAGUA
rnacentral:rRNA from 1 species